GCAGGUAUAGCUUAGUGGUGGAGUGUGUGCGUGGUGUGCACAAGGUCCUAGGUUCAAUACCCCGUACCUCCA
rnacentral:tRNA from 1 species